rnacentral:lncRNA from 1 species
GAGAAUAAUGUAUUUUUCUAUAAAAUAAAUGCAUUCAAAGUUAAAUUUAAUACUUAAAAAGAAAUAAACUUUUUGCCCCUUAUGACAUUCAAACCUAGGUGAUGCAUUCAUCCAACAAGACGAUGCCUACACUAUAGAUCUUCAUAAUCAAAAGUCUAAGAAUGAUACAACCUGGUCUGAGCAUGAUCGGUUAAACAUGAAUAAACGCUUUGUCUAUUCGUACAAAAUUAUUUACUACACUACAUCUCACUCUACCCAAUCCACUCUUAAUUGUAAAGCAUGUAAGAGACACUAUUCUAUACACACUAUCUAAUCAAUCACUUAGGAGACACUUCAAUAAAUGUCUUUCACAAACAACAUCAAGAGAGAUAACUUCAAUUGGUCAUAAGUAUGUCUGAAGUACAUAUACCAUUGGCCAACACCAGUUGUACUAUUUGGAGUGAGAUACACUUUACACUUUGAGUCGAUUAUUACUUGUAACCUAGACUUGCCCAAAGUGUUAUCGACCGAUUAAUACAUCAAGUUUGACCAAAAUUAUAGUAUUUAGAUUAUGAUAUAGUACUUUGAGAACACACACAUACAUUUAUUAUGGCCAAAUUAUACUUCACAACACCGAGUACUCAUACUCGACUAAUAUAUGCCCAAACCAAGUAUAUAAAAUUACCUAAUAAACAUAAUUAAAGUAAAUAAAACAUAAUAAAUGUAUGAAAAUAUACUUGUAUUAAAACAAAAGAGUACAAAAUUUAAUACUACAAUCUAAGGACGAUACCAACCUCGACCAAAGAAAAUAAAAACAUACCAAAUAUUAAGCUAAGACUGAUGGUGAUCACACGAAUUCAAGAUGCCUUUAGAUUGCAGUCAGAAAUCCAUAUAUAUAUAUAUAGACGUCGAGGUAGACUAGGGCAAGCCCAUGCAGUUCAGCAACUAGAUUGCACAUAUUUCUUUACUUGUAAGCUUAAUCCUAUCAAAACCCAUUACAUCACUGUAGAUUUGACGCCGAAUGGAUCCUCGAUCCUUUCUUAUCUCCUUAUGCAGAUAGGAUGGCUGCUCUAUGGCCUCAAUCUGCUUGUGUUCUUAACUCGCUCUUUCUCACAUUAUUUGUUUUGUCUUCCAUUGUGGUCUAGUAUGAUCAUUUAUCCUUGGCUUAUCUCAUACAUCUAGAUUUCAUGCAGUAUCUGGUCUUGGCACAUCGAUUCUUCAAAUUAUUGUGUCAUG